rnacentral:misc_RNA from 1 species
UAGAUAGAGAGAGAAACAUGUAUUUUCAUUUUGAGCCAUUAGCCACGUUUACCGGUACCGCCAUCGCUAUUUUCUUAAUUUCCACUAUCAAAUUCCGUUGGUUCAGUCCCGACAACUAUCUGCCGCCGCCGUUCAACGUCGUCGUCGAGGAAAUCGGUUACUGUUACUGUGCGGUGUGCCUCGACGAGGUGAACGGUGGCGACAAGUGUCGGCAACUGCCCAAGUGUGGCCACGCAUUCCACGCGAUGUGCGUGGAUGCGUGGCUAGAGUGGAAUUGGACGUGCCCAAUCUGCAGAAGGCAAGUUACUGAUGAACUUCCCAAGAGACAA